AGAAAGAAUGAUAUUUGAAUACAAGAUAUAGGCCAGGUACUACUGGCUAAGAAAGAAAUGCAAUAGUGCUUGCUCCCUCAUCCCCUUGGGACAGGGGAGAGGACAAAAGUUCCCAGUAGUCAGCAAAAUCCCAACAUUCUCCCUCUCUUAAACCAUUCUUCCCAACUCUGUGGCCUUACAAGUAUGAAAGCAGUGCCACUAACUGGAAUCUUAGAAAAGUUGAGGUUUUAUACCUGGAUGUUGAAAGCCCAUGAUCUAGUCAAGAACAAAUGAGGGAAGUCUAAUGUCAGGGAAAUCUUCUCCAACAACUUUUUGAAGUGCUCCUGUGUGACUUGAGGUCUUCAUUUUGAACAGACUAAACUGGUUGGUAAUUGCUAAUUGAAGACGACUUCUAUCUGUUCAUGUAGUAAGAAAACAAAAGCAAGCAAUGAGAAGAAAGCAAGAUGUGAAUUAAAUCCUAAAUAACAAACUAAGCUCUGUUGAACUGGUGCAAUCGACGAGUAGAAAGAGCUCUCUCUUUGCAGCAAAUCAGAAAACCAAGACUCUUGCCCUUAUCACCAAUUCAAUGUGAAACUUAGACAAUUCAUGUUAUGUAUCAGUUUCAUUCCUAUGUUUAUUAAAAAAAAAAGAGUAAAUAGGAAAGGAUCAUCUAUAAGAUUUCUUCCGGGCAUCAAUAACUGAUAUUUAUGUUAGCAAGAACACUACCGCCAGAGCAGAACUUUCAGAUAAAAGAAAGAUUCCACACUAGCAAAGCAAAUAAAUAGAAAAAAGAAAUCAAAGAAGUUUGCUAGACUUACACAAAAAUAUCCUGAAAAGAAUCACAUUUGUAAGGUGUAUUAUACCACAAAUAAUAGAAUAUUUGCAUGUUAAAGUUUGGCCUUCAUGAGACAGAUGAGGAAACUGGCCUCUGAGGAGGGAAGGGACUGAUUUGAGGUCAAGGAUUGUAAAGAAUCCAAGAUUGGCAGUGAGGAUCCCCGAUGGCCAGUGC